CUGCAUAGCUCGUCAAUUACCCGUUCGCAACAUUGUCUGGUCUGAUUGUUCGGUAGUUUCAUUCCCUUAGUUUAUUCGAAUGAUUCUACCGAACAAUCAGAGGAAUACAUUUCUUUUAAAGACAUAUAAAACCAGCAGAUCACACGAAUGCAGCUAUUCACAUGAAAUUUGCAGGACAGCCCAGUGCCAUCCGCUACACAUUCUAUGACACAUUCAUUCUAUGAC